rnacentral:rRNA from 1 species
UUACAUACAACAUUAUCCUUGCCAAUUCUAGGUUUUAUUUGAAGACACAAUGUGAAUCGUUGGUAGAAACAUUAAAGCCAACCAUCUCUCUGAAAAGACUCUGACGACGAUUAAAGGAAACAUCCUUGUUUAAAUCUAGCGAGAACCCUUAGUAGCGGCGAGCGAAUUGGAAUACACUAAAAUAUAAGGAGAAAAUAGGUAUAAGCCAUAUCUAAGUGUACAUACGUAAACCUAUAGAGAUAGUACUGUGAAGGAAUUGAAAUUGCGCACAAGGCUAAUACCCCUGCUCACACAGAGCUUACCUUUUGUAUAAUGAGCUUGUUAGAGUAAACCUGGCAAACUCCGUGUUUAAGUCAGGCUUUCCCGAAACUGAGUGAUCUGCUCUUAGGUAGCUUUAGGAGCGAACCGGUGGUUGUUGCAAAAACUUCGGAUAACCUAAGAGCGGGGGUGAAAUACUAAUCGAACUCAGAAAUAGCUGGUUUUCUAUUAAAAUUUUAUAAGAAGCACCCACAGGCAAUUUGCUGCCACCGAACGCCAGCAAAUAUUUAUGCGGGAGCCAGGGCAUCGGCGACAAGGUCGAUGCUCUAAUGGGUAACAGCCCACCAUAGAAGUUUUGGACAUAUAAAUAUUUAGUGUACAAGAAAGAAAGGUAAAAACACAGGGUAAAUUGGCUUGGAGACAGCCACUUUAUAAAUAGCGCGUAACAGUGAACCCUCAGAACCUAUACUUUCACAAUCAUGGUGGCUAAAUACCUCCAAAACUCUAUUGUGGUAAUAGAACACUCCGUCUUCGCAUGAGGGUACUAAACGGAGGAGAUAAUGCAAGCAUGAAUAAUAAAAAUCCUAAAGAAACUAGAUUUUAAACAGCCUGUAAACACAAAAUGAGUAUUAUAUGAACUCAAGGGCGGGAAAUAAUAUAGUUAAUUACUGUUCUAUCUAACGCAAGUAGGAGAAAUAGUAAGCCAACUCUUUCUAAGGAACUCGGCAAACUUGUAAUAGUAUUACUGAAUAAUAUCGACUGUUUACCAAAAACAUAGCCCCCUUUGACCCUUAGGAGGUGCAACCUGCCCAGUGGCUGGGAAUAACAUUAUAGAUAACAACAGUUAAAUGGCCGCGGUAACUCUGACCGUGAUAAAGUAGCAUAAUCACUUGUCACUUAAUUGGUGACUGGUAUGAAUGGUUAAACGAAUAUUCACCUGUCUCGGAUAGAGACUUUAUAAAAUUGAAUUUGCAGUGAAGAUGCUGCGAGUGAAUUGCAAGACGAAAAGACCCUAUUGAGCUUUACUGGAGGUUUGCAUGUAUAAUUAAUAAUAGUGCUAUACAAUUUGCCUGUGCAAACUUGACAGUUUGGUUGGGGCGACCACCCCUAAAAAAGUAACAGGGGAGACUUCAUGGUUAACAUAAUGCACUAAGCCUAACUGACAUAACUACAAUUUAUACAGACACACAAUGUGUGGGGCAUAAUGACCCGCUUGCGAUAGCCUACUACCAAGCGAUCACGGAAAAAGUUACCAUAGGGAUAACAGGGUAAUAUUUUCGAAGAGCUCUAAUCGAUGAAAAUGUUUGCCACCUCGAUGUUGAAUUGUGAUAUCCUGGGGGUGCAGCAGCUCCCAAAGGUUGGUCUGUUCGACCAUUAAAAUCAUACAUGAUUUGAGUUCAUUCCGUCGUAAGACAGGAAGGUUUCUAUCUACAAUUUUGGGAGCCGCUUAUAUUUCUUAGUACGAAAGGAAUUGAAACUAUUGUUCUUGGAACAUAGGAAAAGACUGACCGAAUAUAAGUCAUUGACAGCCCUACAAUUAUAU